GAAAACCAGUCGUCAACCUGGAAUAGGAUUCAGUGCAGCUGCUCCGAGAUUAGAGAGAGAGAGAGUUAGCCACUAUCACUUGGAAAUAACCCCAAAACAAAAUAUUAAAAUAUACCUGAAAUUACGAAAAUCAGAGUGCAAUUGAGGUGUUACUGAAUUUGAAAUACUUACGCACCCAAGUCGGUACAAGCGUUGUAUAACUCUCUUCUUUCACCUGAAGCUCAACUAGUUUACCCCUGGAACCAUGGAGCGCUUCAUCUGAAUUUUCAGAAGCGAACGGGUGAGCUAAAACCCUCCAAAACGAAUAACCGGCUGCCCUC